rnacentral:rRNA from 1 species
CAGUAGCCGCGGGAAUACGAAGGGUGCAAGCGUUACUCGGAAUUACUGGGCGUAAAGCGUGCGUAGGUGGUGGUUUAAGUCCGUUGUGAAAGCCCUGGGCUCAACCUGGGAAUUGCAGUGGAUACUGGGUCACUAGAGUGUGGUAGAGGAUAGUGGAAUUUCCGGUGUAGCAGUGAAAUGCGUAGAGAUCGGAAGGAACAUCUGUGGCGAAGGCGACUAUCUGGGCCAACACUGACACUGAGGCACGAAAGCGUGGGGAGUAAACAGGAUUAGAUACCCCAGUAGUCCCUGUCUCUUAUAC